GUUUGAUCCUGGCUCAGAUUGAACGCUGGCGGCAUGCCUUACACAUGCAAGUCGAACGGUAACAGGUCUUCGGACGCUGACGAGUGGCGAACGGGUGAGUAAUACAUCGGAACGUGCCCGAUCGUGGGGGAUAACGAAGCGAAAGCUUUGCUAAUACCGCAUACGAUCUACGGAUGAAAGCAGGGGACCGCAAGGCCUUGCGCGAACGGAGUGGCCGAUGGCAGAUUAGGUAGUUGGUGGGAUAAAAGCUUACCAAGCCGACGAUCUGUAGCUGGUCUGAGAGGACGACCAGCCACACUGGGACUGAGACACGGCCCAGACUCCUACGGGAGGCAGCAGUGGGGAAUAUUGGACAAUGGGCGGAAGCCUGAUCCAGCAACGCCGCGUGAGGGAUGACGGCCUUCGGGUUGUAAACCUCUUUCAGCAGGGAAGAAGCGCAAGUGACGGUACCUGCAGAAGAAGCGCCGGCUAACUACGUGCCAGCAGCCGCGGUAAUACGUAGGGUGCGAGCGUUGUCCGGAAUUACUGGGCGUAAAGAGCUCGUAGGUGGUUUGUCGCGUCGUUUGUGUAAGCCCGCAGCUUAACUGCGGGACUGCAGGCGAUACGGGCAUAACUUGAGUGCUGUAGGGGAGACUGGAAUUCCUGGUGUAGCGGUGGAAUGCGCAGAUAUCAGGAGGAACACCGAUGGCGAAGGCAGGUCUCUGGGCAGUAACUGACGCUGAGGAGCGAAAGCAUGGGGAGCGAACAGGAUUAGAUACCCUGGUAGUCCAUGCCGUAAACGUUGGGCACUAGGUGU
rnacentral:rRNA from 1 species